UCCGCCCACCGCCCAGCAUCGCUCCGCCCACCGCCCGACAUCGCUGGGUCCUCGGAGAGAACCGGCUUCUGGAGGGAGAAGGCUGCACGCACCUGGACCCAGGCUGGUGCAUGAGCUUCGGAGACCGAGGCAGAGAGCUCAAACGGCUGUCCAGAUGUGCCGAAGUUCAGACUUUGGAGGGCAAAAGGAGGGCAUAAAAUGGUAAACUUCACUGAGGAGUUGGAGAGAGUUCGGGAACAUUGGCUAACCCAGAGCCACCAAGGGAGAGGAUCAGUUGUGUUGUCAACUUCUUUUUAUAAAGCCAUCAUGCAGGGAUGGGUUUUGUCAGUGGCAUAUGCCACUGCCAACUCAUUGAACUAAUAAACUUUUGUGGUGGGA